UACGAAGGGUGCAAGCGUUACUCGGAAUUACUGGGCGUAAAGCGUGCGUAGGUGGUGAGUUAAGUCUGUCGUGAAAGCCCCGGGCUCAACCUGGGAAUGGCGAUGGAUACUGGCUCGCUAGAGUGCGGUAGAGGAGAGUGGAAUUCCCGGUGUAGCAGUGAAAUGCGUAGAGAUCGGGAGGAACACCGAUGGCGAAGGCAAUCCCCUGGGCCUGCACUGACGCUCAUGCACGAAAGCGUGGGGAGCAAACAGG
rnacentral:rRNA from 1 species